rnacentral:rRNA from 1 species
GACGAAGGGGGCUAGCGUUGUUCGGAAUUACUGGGCGUAAAGCGCGUGUAGGCGGUUAUCCAAGUCGGGUGUGAAAGCCUUGAGCUCAACUCAAGAAAUGCACUCGGUACUGGGUGACUAGAGGACCGGAGAGGAUAGUGGAAUUCCCAGUGAUAGUGGUGAAAUACGUAGAGAUUGGGAAGAACACCAGUGGCGAAGGCGGCUAUCUGGACGGUUUCUGACGCUAAGACGCGAAAGCGUGGGGAGCAAACAGG